rnacentral:misc_RNA from 1 species
AGUUAAACAGUACGUGAAAUUGUUGAAAGGGAAACGAUUAAAGUCAGUCGUACCUACGAGUAAUCAACCUACACGAGCGCGAUUUUGUGGGUAUGAAGAGGUAAAACCUUCAUGUUUGCAAAUUGGUGUUCUUUGGGCGUACUUUCUCGUAUGGUAGGUUAACAUCAAUUUCGAUCGUUAUAAAAUGACGGGAGGAAUGUAGCUUCGACUUCGGUUGAAGUGUUAUAGCCUCUGGUAGAUGUAAUGAUUGGGAUUGAGGAUUGCAACGGAUACCCUCUGGGCUAUUCGUCUGAUCUCUGGAAGUUACCUUGGUGUCGAAAGCGUGCUUAUGACAUUAAGAAUGACGGCCAAAAGGUUAGAACGGAAUUAAAUUCGUUAAGGAUGUUGACGUAAUGGCUUUAAA